GGGAUAUAGCUCAGCGGCAGAGCAACGGACUGUUAAUCCGUGGGCCGGAGGUUCAAAUCCUUCUAUCCCC
rnacentral:tRNA from 1 species